CACCGAGGCGCGAGUUGUGCUGGCAGAGCAUUGCCAACCGUGCGGGAGGGCUCCUCCGCGCACCGCCAGCUUUGCCUCAACCCCACCUCUCUAAAAUAAAGUUUCCAAAGCUGCUGGAUGACAGAACGGCACCGAAGCAGCGGGAGCGCCGGGCCAGAGAUAACAGGCUUUACUUGAAAGGGAACAACUGCAUCAUGAAAUUGAUUUUCCACCUCUUUGCCUCAAUUCCUGUCAUGAAGGAUGCUGUGACUGUCACCUCUUGGUGUGGUGCUGGAGGAACAGAGCAGCUGAAAUGAGACAUCCCCAUGUCCACAUCCCUGCUGUCAGUGUUAGCAACCUGCUCUCCUGCUUCCCAGGUAACUUCUGAAGGAGGCUGCGCCUCACUUGUCUCUCCCUGUCACUCCCUCUAACCCCUAAACUCUUCCAGAAUCCUUUGGGAUCAAGUUCCUAUCCCUGCCUGCUUGCCAGCUGUCCCAUUUUUACCCCUUUUUCAGCUCUGCUUCUUCUAGGUGAAGAACCCAGCUACAUGGAUAAAGAACUGCAAACUCUGAGGAAAAUUACUACUGGUGCCCUUCUUUGCCCAGUUAACAUGAAAGGGAGAUAUGAAUUCUGAGUAUUUCCUGCAGAUGGAUGAAUAAUUGAGCAUGAAGGAGGAGUGAAACCAUUUAAUGCUGUCCAGGUACUGGCUUCAAAAAUCCCCCAUGUAUGAAAUGCUGAAGAGAAUCUGUUCUUUUCUCCACACAGCUCCACGUACACAGUGCAGCAUUUCCAUCUCCAAAGGUAACUCAUUAUUAAAAAG